rnacentral:snoRNA from 1 species
GCGUUGAUGAAUUUGUCGAAUCCGUGUUUCAGCUGAGCGACGAUGCUGAUACAUGCACGCUUUGUCUGUUUGACUUCUGAGCGGG